rnacentral:rRNA from 1 species
GACGAACGCUGGCGGCGCGCUUAACACAUGCAGGUCGAACGGAAAGGCCUGCUUUCCCUUGUGGAUUGCGGGUACUCGCGUGGCGAACGGGUGAGUAACACGUGAGUGAUCUGCCCCCAACUUGGGUAUAAGCCUGGGAAACUGGGUCUAAUUCCCGAUAGGACUGCAGGGUGGUGCCUGUGGUGGAAAACGAUUUUCUAGUGGUUGGGGAUGAGCUCGCGGCCUAUCAGCUUGUUGGUGGGGUAAUGGCCUACCAAGGCGGCGACGGGUAGCCGGCCUGGGAGGGUGGACGGCCACAUUGGGACUGAGACACGGCCAAGACUCCUACGGGAGGCAGCAGUGGGGAAUAUUGCACGAGGGGCGGAAGCCUGAUGCAGCGACGCCGAGUGGGGGAUGACGGCCUUCGGGUUGUAAACUCCUUUCGGCCGCGAGGAAGCCACCUGGUUGGAAGGGUGGUGACGGUAGUGGUAGAAGAAGCACCGGCUAACUACGUG